rnacentral:rRNA from 1 species
AUUGAACGCUGGCGGCAGGCCUAACACAUGCAAGUCGAACGAGCGGCGGACGGGUGAGUAAUGUCUGGGAAACUGCCCGAUGGAGGGGGAUAACUACUGGAAACGGUAGCUAAUACCGCAUACCAUCGGAUGUGCCCAGAUGGGAGUAGCUAGUAGGUGGGGUAAGGGGUCACCUAGGCGACGAUCCCUAGCUGGUCUGAGAGGAUGACCGGCCAACCUGGACCUGAGACACGGUCCAGACUCCUACGGGAGGCAGCGUAGGGGAAUAUUGCACAAGGGGCGCAAGCCUGAUGCAGCAAUGCCGCGUGUAUGAAGAAGGCCUUCGGGUUGUAAGGUACGUUCAGCGAGGAGGCGUUACUCGCAGAAGAAGCACCGGCUAACUCCGUGCCAGCAGCCGCGGUAAUAC